rnacentral:tRNA from 1 species
CCCUGGUUAGCUCAGUUGGUAGAGCACUCCACCCGUAAUGGAGAGGUCCCGGGUUCGAUGCCCGGACCAGAUGGA